UGGGGAAUCUUGGACAAUGGGGGCAACCCUGAUCCAGCCAUGCCGCGUGAGUGAUGAAGGCCUUAGGGUCGUAAAGCUCUUUCGCCUGUGAAGAUAAUGACGGUAGCAGGUAAAGAAACCCCGGCUAACUCCGUGCCAGCAGCCGCGGUAAUACGGAGGGGGUUAGCGUUGUUCGGAAUUACUGGGCGUAAAGCGCACGUAGGCGGACCAGAAAGUUGGGGGUGAAAUCCCGGGGGCUCAACCCCGGAACUGCCUCCAAAACUAUUGGUCUAGAGUUCGAGAGAGGUGAGUGGAAUUCCAAGUGUAGAGGUGAAAUUCGUAGAUAUUUGGAGGAACACCAGUGGCGAAGGCGGCUCACUGGCUCGAUACUGACGCUGAGGUGCGAAAGUGUGGGGAGCAAACAGGAUUAGAUACCCUGGGU
rnacentral:rRNA from 1 species